AUACAGAGGGUGCAAGCGUUAAUCGGAUUUACUGGGCGUAAAGCGCGCGUAGGUGGCUAAUUAAGUCAAAUGUGAAAUCCCCGAGCUUAACUUGGGAAUUGCAUUCGAUACUGGUUAGCUAGAGUAUGGGAGAGGAUGGUAGAAUUCCAGGUGUGGCGGUGAAAUGCGUAGAGAUCUGGAGGAAUACCGAUGGCGAAGGCAGCCAUCUGGCCUAAUACUGACACUGAGGUGCGAAAGCAUGGGGAGCAAACAGGAUUAGAUACCCUGGUAGUCCAUGCCGUAAACGAUGUCUACUAGCCGUUGGGGCCCUUGAGGCUUUAGUGGCGCAGCUAACGCGAUAAGUAGACCGCCUGGGGAGUACGGUCGCAAGACUAAAACUCAAAUGAAUUGACGGGG
rnacentral:rRNA from 1 species